AGCGAACGCUGGCGGCAGGCUUAACACAUGCAAGUCGAGCGGACGUAGCAAUACGUCAGCGGCAGACGGGUGAGUAACGCGUGGGAACGUACCUUUUGGUUCGGAACAGCACAGGGAAACUUGUGCUAAUACCGAAUAAGCCCUUACGGGGAAAGAUUUAUCGCCGAAAGAUCGGCCCGCGCCUGAUUAGCUAGUUGGUGGGGUAACGGCCCACCAAGGCGACGAUCAGUAGCUGGUCUGAGAGGAUGAUCAGCCACAUUGGGACUGAGACACGGCCCAAACUCCUACGGGAGGCAGCAGUGGGGAAUAUUGGACAAUGGCCGCAAGCCUGAUCCAGCCAUGCCGCGUGAGUGAUGAAGGCCCUAGGGUUGUAAAGCUCUUUUGUGCGGGAAGAUAAUGACGGUACCGCAAGAAUAAGCCCCGGCAAACUUCGUGCCAGCCGCCGCAGUAACAC
rnacentral:rRNA from 1 species